rnacentral:rRNA from 1 species
UCUGACCUCCCCAUUGGAAAACUGAAAGGCCGCGGUAUUAUGACCGUGCAAAGGUAGCAUAAUCAUUAGUUUUUUAAUUGAAGGCUAGAAUGAAUGGUUGGACAAGAAAUAAUCUGUCUUAAAUUAAUAUAUUGAAUUUAACUUUUAAGUGAAAAGGCUUAAAUGAUCUAAGGGGACGAUAAGACCCUAUAAAACUUUAUAUUUUAAGGUGGAAAAUAAUUUUAUUUUAAAAUUACUAUUUUAAAUUAUUUUGUUGGGGCGACAAGGAUAUAAGAAAGGAUAACUGUCUUUUAUUUUUACAAUAAUAUUUGAAUUAUUGAUCCUAAAAGGGAUUAAAGAUUAAGUUACUUUAGGGAUAACAGCGUAAUUUUCUUUGAGAGUUCUUAUCGACAAGAAAGUUUGCGACCUCGAUGUUGAAUUAAAGGUUCUUUAUAGAGUAGAGACUAUAAGAGAAGGUCUGUUCGACCUUUAAAAUUUUACAUGAUUUGA